UCUUUCCAUGGCGAUGGAGCACUCACUGGACCACCUGUAAUGCCGGAAGUCACAAACUCGGCUGGCGAGCCGGAAGAGCUCGUCGGAGAUGACGGUGUGGCUCCACGCAUACUCCAGCAGGCCCUUGGAAUCGUAGUAGUCUUCCGUCUCCGGGUUUCCUACCUGAGAGGAGACCCUUUAUGAAGAUCCAAUUCUUCCUCAGACGUAAUCUGAAUUGAGUAACUUCUGAAGCAGGUCUCUUACUAUGAAUCCUCUCAGGUUGAUCCGCGAGAACUUCCCAGAGGUGUCUUCGUUCCGAUCGUAAAUAAGCUCUGCAAGCUGGGGGACGUAGUGACCUGCCACAGAAAGGAGAUGGAAGCUCCCUAAAUGGGACCAAACAGGGAGGAGAGAAUGGGGCCGUUGCCUCCGUACAAACUCCAUCAGAGUGUAUCUGUAAACCUAACUAUCUUCGUCUACAGAUAUAUCUAGUUUCUGAUGGUAGAAUUUCUCUAUGUGGCUUUUCAAUGGAUCUCUCUCUCUCUCUCUCUCUCUCUCUCUCUCUCU
rnacentral:lncRNA from 1 species